CUACGGGCUGCUGCAGUCGAGAAUCUUCGGCAAUGGGGGAAACCCUGACCGAGCGACGCCGCGUGCGGGAUGAAGGCCUUCGGGUUGUAAACCGCUGUCGUAGAGGAGGAAAUGCAGGGGGGUUCUCCCCUCUGUUUGACCUAGUCUAGGAGGAAGGACGGGCUAAGUUCGUGCCAGCAGCCGCGGUAAGACGAGCCGUCCAAACGUUACUCGGAAUUACUGGGCUUAAAGGGUGCGUAGGCUGCGCAGAAAGUUGGGUGUGAAAUCCCUCGGCUCAACCGGGGAAUUGCAUCCAAAACUACUGUGCUCGAGGGAGACAGAGGUAAGCGGAACUCAAGGUGGAGCGGUGAAAUGCGUUGAUAUCUUGAGGAACACCGGUGGCGAAAGCGGCUUACUGGGUCUCUUCUGACACUGAGGCACGAAAGCUAAGGUAGCAAACGGGAUUAGAUACCCUGGUAGUC
rnacentral:rRNA from 1 species